AAGUCCCGCAACGAGCGCAACCCUUAAGCUUAGUUGCCAUCAUUAAGUUGGGCACUCUAAGUUGACUGCCGGUGACAAACCGGAGGAAGGUGGGGAUGACGUCAAAUCAUCAUGCCCCUUAUGAUUUGGGCUACACACGUGCUACAAUGGACAAUACAAAGGGCAGCGAAACCGCGAGGUCAAGCAAAUCCCAUAAAGUUGUUCUCAGUUCGGAUUGUAGUCUGCAACUCGACUAUAUGAAGCUGGAAUCGCUAGUAAUCGUAGAUCAGCAUGCUACGGUGAAUACGUUCCCGGGUCUUGUACACACCGCCCGUCACACCACGAGAGUUUGUAACACCCGAAGCCGGUGGAGUAACCAUUUGGAGCUAGCCGUCGAAGGUGGGACAAAU
rnacentral:rRNA from 1 species